GACAUGCAAAACAGUAUGAACGGAAUGUGUGUGGGCAACAGCAGUGUGCUGAAUGAAAAGUGCCUGUCCCAGUAUACUCUGCUCAUAUGUCUGUAAAUUUUCUGUACUGAUGAGAAGUUUCUGUUACAGAUUUUGACUUCACAUGAUUUCAGAUGACGUGAAGAAUUAACUGGAUUAGAAUUUCACAAUCAUUUUCAACAACCUUCAAAUAUCUGGUCACAUACUGUACAACACAGUGAAGGUGUGCUAUGGUGAUAUGGCUACCAAGUGUGACCAGAGGCCAUGAGUUCACACCUGACGGGAUGGUCUCUAGGCAAACAGUUCAUCGACAUUUAUGGAAUAAGAAUCCUCCUAAGCUCCAAAGCUCUAACAACGAAAGCUAAGUGAACCACAAACGACAGCCUGGUCUGCAUUCUGCCACCCCAUAUGACCUGCGGGCUGUCUCAACCCCAUCGCAGCCACAUCAUAUAUGCACCUUUAUCUCCACGACAGAACACAGAGUGGACAUGCAGCAAAUAUGUGCUGAACUCAUUAACAGUAAAUAGAUGGUGCUGAAAUUUUCUAUUGAA